GUCUAUGGCCACACUACCCUGAUCACCACCAGAUGCUGUAUGAUUACAGAAGUUAAGCAGGGUAGGGCAUGAUUAGGUCUCUAUGAACA
rnacentral:rRNA from 1 species